rnacentral:rRNA from 1 species
GACGAACGCUGGCGGCGUGCCUAAUACAUGCAAGUAGAACGCACAGUUUAUACCGUAGCUUGAUACACCAUAGACUGUGAGUUGCGAAUGGGUGAGUAACGCGUAGGUAACCUGCCUGGUAGCGGGGGAUAACAAUUGGAAACGAUAGCUAAUACCGCAUAAUAUUAAUUAUUGCAUGAUAAUUAAUUGAAAGGCGCAAUUGCACCACUACCAGAUGUACCAGCGUUGUAUUAGCUAGUAGGUGAGGUAACGGCUCACCUAGGCGACGAUACAUAGCCGACCUGAGAGGGUGAUCGGCCACACUGGGACUGAGACACGGCCCAGACUCCUACGGGAGGCAGCAGUAGGGAAUCUUCGGCAAUGGACGAAAGUCUGACCGAGCAACGCCGCGUGAGUGAAGAAGGUUUUCGGAUCGUAAAGCUCUGUUGUAAGAGAAGAACGGGUGUGAGAGUGGAAAGUUCACACUGUGACGGUAACUUACCAGAAAGGGACGGCUAACUACGUG